GAUGAAGAACGCAGCGAAAUGCGAUACGUAAUGUGAAUUGCAGAAUUCAGUGAAUCAUCGAAUCUUUGAACGCACAUUGCGCCUGCCAGCACUCUGGCAGGCAUGCCUGUUCGAGCGUCAUUUCAACCAUCAAGCCCUAGGCUUGCGUUGGAGCCCUGCGGCUGCCGCAGGCCCUGAAAUGCAGUGGCGGGCUCGCUGUCACUCCGAGCGUAGUAGUUACAUCUCGCUCUGGGCGUGCUGCGGGUUCCGGCCGUUAAAAGCCUUAUUUACCCAAGGUUGACCUCGGAUCAGGUAGGAAGACCCGCUGAACUUAAGCAUAUCAAUAAGCGGAGGA
rnacentral:misc_RNA from 1 species